rnacentral:rRNA from 1 species
UACGGGGGGAGCAAGCGUUGUUCGGAUUUACUGGGCGUAAAGGGCGCGUAGGCGGCCAGCACAAGUCAGUUGUGAAAUCUCCGAGCUUAACUCGGAACGGUCAACUGAUACUGUGCGGCUAGAGUGCGGAAAGGGCAACUGGAAUUCUUGGUGUAGCGGUGAAAUGCGUAGAUAUCAAGAGGAACACCUGCGGCGAAGGCGGGUUGCUGGGCCGACACUGACGCUGAGGCGCGAAAGCCAGGGGAGCGAACGGG